CAGACCUAGGGCUCCAAACCAAAAGCCCCAAAUCUCUCGACGCUUUCAGCCUUUCUCAGUUUCACUCUCGAUUUCACACUCACUGAUGCCGCCGCCGGACGCCGCUCGCCCUCAACGCCGCGCCAGACGCCGCUCGCCCUCGACGCCGCCGCCGGACACCGCUCGCCCUCGCCAAACGCCGCUGGACGCUAGUCGCUGACGCUGCUCGCCCUAACCCUCAGGUCCCUCACCACUCGACGCCAGUCAAAGUCUCUCUCGUUCUCUGCCUGUGCCCGUCGGCGACGCCGCUUGCCCUCGACGCCACCGCCGGACGCCGCUCGCCCUCGCCGGACGCCGCUGAACACCAGUCGCCGACGCCGCUCGCCCUAACCCUCGCCACUCGACGCCAAUCAGACUCUUAUUAGUUCUCUGCCUCUACCCGUUGCCGACGCCGCUCGCCUUCGACGCCGCCGCCGCCGGACGCCGCUCGCCGGCCCAGUCUCGUUUGAAUCUUCUCCGCUAGUCAUAUCUUCGCUUGUGAACAAUUGUAAAAGCUUUCAAUCACCAGCUCGUAUGCUCGUUGCAGUCCCGGCGUAGCUUAAAAAAUCUAGAUCAGAGGACUAUCAGGGAAGAGACGGCAACUGAUAACCUGGUUCAGAGGACUAUCAGGGAAGAGACGGCAACUGAUAACCUGGUUCAGAGGACUAUCAGGGAAGAGACGGUGUAAAAAGAUUCGUAUACAUCUCUGCAGCUGACUUUGGUGUUGUGAAUUGUUUACUCCAGGGAUAUUAUGAGGGAAAGAGAGCUGCUGAAACAGAGCUGCUGACAAAGUUCCCUUGUGGAGGUGAUAUAACUGUUUUUCCUUUACUUGUAAAUAGGCCGUGUUAGGAAUCUGCACACUAAAAAGGGCUAGUGAUUUACUAAAGUGCCUUGCAACCUGUACCUGGAUGAAUUUGUAUAGAAUUGGGGUCAAUAACUCUUGAGCGAUUAUCUUAUUGUUGGAUUAAGAUUGAUGUGCUUAUGCAGGCCCUAUGGUUUUUAAGUGCAUGAACGGUAUAAGUCUUGUAAGACCGACUGUUGAUGAUGGAUGUUGUCACGCUGUUCUAA